CAGUAGCCGCGGUAAUACGUAGGUGGCGAGCGUUGUCCGGAAUUAUUGGGCGUAAAGGGCUCGCAGGCGGUUUCUUAAGUCUGAUGUGAAAGCCCCCGGCUCAACCGGGGAGGGUCAUUGGAAACUGGGAAACUUGAGUGCAGAAGAGGAGAGUGGAAUUCCACGUGUAGCGGUGAAAUGCGUAGAGAUGUGGAGGAACACCAGUGGCGAAGGCGACUCUCUGGUCUGUAACUGACGCUGAGGAGCGAAAGCGUGGGGAGCGAACAGGAUUAGAUACCCCGGUAGUCCCUGUCUCUUAUAC
rnacentral:rRNA from 1 species